CGCGAUAGCUCAGUCGGUAGAGCAGAGGACUGAAAAUCCUCGUGUCGGUGGUUCGAUUCCGCCUCGCGG
rnacentral:tRNA from 1 species